GUAGUUCUCAUGGUAAAGCUGGUUGUCUUGCUUCAAGAUCUGCUCCAGUUGACCCCCACCCCUAAAGCCAUUCAGGUGUAAUUUGUGCUUGCGCAAGAUGGGCCCACCUAAGAACAGUGAGGCUGUUGAAGGGGGAGCUGCAGGAAGCAUUUUUCCCAAGAGAGGCUUCUGCAAUUGGGCCAGAUUUAGACUGCAGGCUUGGACCGAAUGGCAAUGUUAAAAGGAGCCAGAAAAGCAAAGAGCCUUAAUGUCCUGGCUCUGCGUCAGCGCAACAGUGGAUUUCGACAACCUGUUUUCCAGAUCCCUUGGCGUUCUUCCACCAACUCCCUGUGCAUGCGUCAUCACUUUGCAUGGUUGUUCUGCUUCCCAUGGGUCCCACACACCCCUCUCCGUGCAAAGACACACACACUUGAUUUAAAAAAAAAAACUUAAAAAACAGCAGACUAACUGGGC